rnacentral:misc_RNA from 1 species
UUUUGGUUUCACUUCCGGCUUCUGCGAAACUGGUGCACGUGUCUGGAGUGUAGCUUUAUUGAAAUUUAAACUAAAUAAUACACUAAUGAACACUAAAUAUUGUUAAAAAAGCAGCAAGAAACUAAAUUCUAGAAGUUGAUGUAUUUUCUGUCCUGUUAAAUAAGAACAUGGUGGGCUCACGUGUUUACGUCGGUGGACUGCCUUUUGGCGUCCGAGACAGAGAUUUGGAGAAAUUCUUCAAAGGCUUCGGCAGAAUAAGGGACAUACUCAUCAAGAAUGGCUAUGGAUUUGUGGAAUUUGAAGAUUAUAGAGAUGCAGAUGAUGCAGUCUAUGAAUUAAAUGGGAAAGAGCUACUCGGGGAGAGGGUGGUGGUGGAGCCGGCCAGGGGCAUCGACCGCAGCGCCGACCGUUACCGCCGCGACCGCUACUACGAGCGCGACCGCGGCCGGUCGCGAUACGAUGACUACAGUUAUAGAUACGGACCGCCGACGCGCACCGAGUAUCGACUAGUCGUCGAAAAUCUGUCUAGCCGCAUUAGCUGGCAGAAGGUGGCGUAUCGUGGCCAGAGUCCUCGAUGUAGCGCUGUGUGCGAUGUGGUCUGAGGCGAUGUUAGGAUCGGUCCCGGAGCUCCGGUGACGUGAUGACGCCCUCCCCGGCCGCCCCUCCAGCCGACACCCCCCGGUCACCCGGUGGCCCUCGCCAAGGACUUGAAGGAUUACAUGCGUCAAGCUGGUGAAGUUACCUACGCUGACGCUCACAAGCAACAUAGAAAUGAAGG